rnacentral:rRNA from 1 species
AAUCAACGCUGGCGGCGUGCCUAACACAUGCAAGUCGAGCGAGAAAGUGGGGGCAACUCCAUGAGUACAGCGGCGACCGGGUGAGUAACACGUGACUAACCUACCCUUGAGUGGGGAAUAACUCCGGGAAACCGGAGCUAAUACCGCAUAACACCGUAAGGUCAAAGGAGCAAUUCGCUUAAGGAGGGGGUCGCGGUUGAUUAGCUAGUUGGUGGGGUAAUGGCCCACCAAGGCGAUGAUCAAUAGCCGGCCUGAGAGGGCGCACGGCCACACUGGAACUGAAACACGGUCCAGACUCCUACGGGAGGCAGCAGUGGGGAAUUUUGCGCAAUGGGGGAAACCCUGACGCAGCAACGCCGCGUGAAGGAUGAAGGUCUUUGGAUUGUAAACUUCUUUCGUUCGGGACGAUAAUGACGGUACCGGAAGAAGAAGCCCCGGCUAACUUCGUGCCAGCAGCCGCAGU